rnacentral:lncRNA from 1 species
AAAAACUAGUACACUUUAUAUUUAGAAACACAUGGAGUAGAUCGGAAGUUUUUCCCUCCAGAAAUGACAUAACGUGUGUUCUCUCGAAAGGAAAUUAAAAGGGGUAUUAUUUCUCCUUUUCUUUUUCUUGAAGGCGGGGAGAGGGGGCCAAUUCUUACAUUUCUUUAGACUUAAGGGAAAUAAAUGCUACUACGAAUCCCUAGGUUUCGCGGAUCAUCAGCAAGGCAAGUAACACAUUGAUCAUACCCUUUCCAUACCCAGUUUUUAUGCAUUAGUUCAAUCCUCAAACAUUGCAUGAUUAGGAUGUCAUUAACAUAUGGGUUGGGAAGUAGUUGAUGAGGUAGAACCUAUUGCCCUGUUAUAUUCAAAUCCUUGGCAGUUACUUCUACGUGUUGCUUAUAUUGCUAUGCUAUGCUCGUAGACGUGGUUUGGGUGAGUGAAAUCCAUGACAGAUGUGAGACUUUUAAAUUAAUGGUUCAACUUAAGGUGACAACUUAAACACACAUCUGGGUGGAUUGAGGCACCUGGAGAAUCCAGUCUUGCCUGUAUUUUUGGAAAUCCCGGGGUUCCGUGUGAUUCUCCUAUGGACCGCCACUCAGGCUCAAAGGGAACUGAGAUGAUUCAUGCUAGAAACUUCCGUGUGCAGCCACAAGCUACUAUGGGCUCUAGCAUAGUUGAGUAAGUUACGUGAAGCUCUCGAAGAGGUGGAUUAUCAGGUAGUGGGUUGUAGGUUUGGUAUGGUCUGCCCGGAGAGUAGAGUUAAUGUUUCUAAAAGACUGUGUCUCGGUCAUCCAUUUCUCAAACACCAUGUAGUGCGAGAAAUCCAACGGAGGAGAUCGAGUCUUGUGGGGAAAAGUGCGCAAACCUCUGCAGAGUGUACAAACUAAUCAUGGUUAGCCGUGUCCCCGGUUAUGAACAAUCUUGAGUAUCUAGUACUUGGAGUAUCUUAAGUAUCUCAUCACUCUUAAAUUAAUAUUGUUGGGUUGAUAAUUACUUUAAUUGGGAUUGAGUUGGAGGAACCUUCUCAAUGAUGUUUCAACUACCAUGAUAGUUAAAUUAAAAUAUAUUCCUUUGUUGUAGGAAAAAAUUGGCUUUUCGCAAAAACCAUAACCAUAGAGCUUUCCACCAGCCAAAUAUGCAUGUAGUGAUAGCAUUAUUCUGUUCUUGCUCUACUGUGUUAUAUUGCCAGCAUAUUCCAUGUGCUGGCCCGUUUUCCGGCUGCAACGUAUUAUGUUGCAAACUUUUCAGACGAGGAGUAAGGUUCGUUAGGUCGUUGCCGUGCAGCUCAGCUAUGUUGUUGGAGUUGAUGGACUCACUUUAUCUUCCAAGCCUUCCGCUGUUAUCGUAUUAGAUGGCCUUAAGCCAUAUUUAUUGUAAUAAGUUCUCUUUUGAGACAUUCGAUAUAAUAAGUGUGUGAUUGCUACUCUGUUAUAAAUCCUUGAGUAUUGUGUGUGUCAGCAUUACCGAUCCAGGGAUGACACAGAAGCACAUAGACUUGACCAUUUGAGGUCGGGUCGCUACAUAGAGAUUCCAAUAUGGACUACAUAUGAAACAAAAUGAGUGAAUAUAGCCUCAAAAACAUGUUUAUAUCCGCGUUGAAAUCUCUAAAAAGUCUUAUAUUUAGAAAUGUAGGGGAUAGAUUGAUGUUGUUAUGGUUUUGCUAUGUUUAAUGUUUGUCACUAGGGUCCAAGUAUUGUGAUUGCAAAUCUGAACCCUCUAUAUUUUCAUGAAUAUAUUUGUGUUAUUGAUCAUAUUUGUAAGUUGUGUGCAUAUAUUAUCGUUCUAAGACCCCAAGCUGGCAAUAAUUGGGAUAUCAACAUAAUGACUUUAACUUGAGGAUUACAUGUAUUCACUACGUGUUAAUACUUUGUUCCCGCUCUUUAUUAAAAGGAGUGUCUUAAUUACCAUUAGUUUUUAUUAGGACUCCACUGCCACGAGAGGGUAGGAUAAAAGAUAUUAUGCAAGUUCUUAUCAAAGGCGUGUAUGACUAUUUAUGGGAUGCAUGCCAACAUUUAUCGAAGGCGUAUAAUGACUUUAAAUUGAAGCUAGCUUGUUAUCGAUCUAGGUUAUAACCGUUGCAUAUUGAAUCGCAUCCGAGCAACCCCAUCACUUACUCCAUGCCUACGCCUUUAUUACUAUUGUUUCCCUAACAACUACUACCGCUUUAAUCUGAUACUAUUCUGCAAACUUUUUACUAUUUCUACCACUGUUGUCAUGUUACUUUGCCACUAAUAAAUUGCCGCAAGCAAGUUAUCUUCUCAGGUAUGAUUAAAUUGACAACUCAAUUGCUAAGACUUAUAAAUAUUCUUUGGCUUUCUUCCCAGGUUUUGUAUGGCUUCGAUGAAGAAGGGGCAAUGAAGGCAGCUUGCUUCGGCUCGUUUUAGUGUUUAUAGUCAUUGUUAGAUCGUCUAUGGAUGGAUGUAGUUUGCGUUACUCCUUGUGUUCUUUGUAGUGCCAUGACAUUUGAUAAAAGUGUAUAAGUUUUUUGAAAAGUCAAACUUCUUUAACUUUGACCAUGUUUAUAGAAAAAAGUAUUAACAUCUGCAUCAUUAAAUAAACACACUAUGAAAAUACACAAAUCUAAUGAUACCGAUUUGAUAUAAUUUACAUUGAUAUAUUUUUCUACAAAUUUAGUCAAAGUUAAGCAAGUUUGACUUCUAAAAAAACUAGUACACUUUAUAUUUAGAAACACAUGGAGUAGAUCGGAAGUUUUUCCCUCCAAAAAUGACAUAAACGUGUGGUCUCUCGAAAGGAAAUUAAAAGGGGUAUUAUUUCUCCUUUUCUUUUUCUUGAAGACGGGGAGAGGGGGCCAAUUCUUACAUUUCUUUAGACUUUAAGGGAAAGAAAUGAGAGCUAAGGGCGGGCCCUUUUCUUACCAGGCUACAGAUAGAGAUAAGCCCAAGCAGCCUAGCCCAAUGUCACGAUUAUACCCAACAAAAAGGCCCGUAGCUACUCCAAAGCCCAGGAACGGCACUGACUGAGGAAGGCACCUCCGCCUCCGGCCCCCAACCUCGCCUCUCUCCA